UACGUAGGGUGCAAGCGUUAAUCGGAAUUACUGGGCGUAAAGCGUGCGCAGGCGGUUUUGUAAGUCAGAUGUGAAAUCCCCGGGCUUAACCUGGGAACUGCGUUUGAAACUACAAGGCUAGAGUGUGGCAGAGGGGGGUAGAAUUCCACGUGUAGCAGUGAAAUGCGUAGAGAUGUGGAGGAAUACCGAUGGCGAAGGCAGCCCCCUGGGCUAACACUGACGCUCAUGCACGAAAGCGUGGGGAGCAAACAGG
rnacentral:rRNA from 1 species